UGUUGCACGACUGUUACUACUGUUCAAC
rnacentral:sRNA from 1 species